rnacentral:rRNA from 1 species
UACGUAGGGUGCGAGCGUUAAUCGGAAUUACUGGGCGUAAAGCGUGCGCAGGCGGUUCGUUGUGUCGGCGGUGAAAGCCCCGGGCUUAACCUGGGAAUGGCCGUCGAAACUGGCGAACUGGAGUGUGGCAGAGGGGGGUGGAAUUCCGCGUGUAGAGGAGAAAUUCGUAGAUAUUCGGAAGAACACCAGUGGCGAAGGCGACUUACUGGACACAUAUUGACGCUGAGGUGCGAAAGCGUGGGGAGCAAACAGG